GUCUAUGACCAUGCCACCUUGAACAAGCCUAAUCCUGUCUGAUCUCGAAAGCUCAGCAUGGUUGGGCCUCGUUAGUACUGGAUGGGAGACCACCUAGGAAGACCAGGUGCUGUAGGCG
rnacentral:rRNA from 1 species